GCAAGUCGAGCGAGACGGUUAUGAAAGAUCCUUCGGGUGAUUGAUUAACUAGAAAGCGGCGGACGGGUGAGUAACGCGUGAGUAACCUGCCCCAUACACAGGGAUAGCCAUUGGAAACGAUGAUUAAUACCUGAUAACACAUAUAUAACACAUGUUAAUUAUGUCAAAGAUUUAUCGGUAUGGGAUGGACUCGCGUCUGAUUAGCUAGUUGGUAAGGUAACGGCUUACCAAGGCGACGAUGGAUAGCCGGCCUGAGAGGGUGAAC
rnacentral:rRNA from 1 species